GGUCCACCUGCAGAAAGAAAAAAUAAAGCAGUCUGGAUGGGCCACAGGAGUAAAAAAAAAUAGGAAUGUUGGCAGAAUUGUCAAGUCUGCCCAACUGUCUACAUUUAAGCUGCAUGAACUUGGGCAAAACCCAAUUUUGUUCAUUGGGCAGCCUAAGAGGAAGGGGUUCUUGGCAGACAUGUUCCACCAUUUCAACCUCGACCCAAUAGCGGAAGAGAUAAUAAAAAAAAUGAUUAAACUUUAUGAGCACCUGCUUAAAAGACUAGUUGUACCACAGACCCCACCAUCCACUGCUCCACCAUCCACUUCUCCACCAUCCACUGCUCCACCAUCCA